rnacentral:tRNA from 1 species
AAAAAUUAGUUAAAAAAAUAACAUUAACGUGUCAAGUUAAAAUUACUUUAAAAGUAUUUUUA